CCUACGGGACGCAGCAGUAGGGAACCUUCGGCAAUGGACGAAAGUCUGACCGAGCAACGCCGCGUGAGUGAAGAAGGUUUUCGGAUUGUAAAACUCUGUUGUUAGAGAAGACCAAGUAGGAGAGUAACUGCUCUUACCUUGACGGUAUCUAACCAGAAAGCCACGGCUAACUACGUGCCAGCAGCCGCGGUAAUACGUAGGUGGCAAGCGUUGUCCGGAUUUAUUGGGCGUAAAGCGAGCGCAGGCGGUCUUUUAAGUCUGAUGUGGAAGCCCUCGGCUCAACCGAGGAAGGUCAUUGGAAACUGGAGGACUUGAGUGCAGAAGAGGAGAGUGGAAUUCCAUGUGUAGCGGUGAAAUGCAUAGAUAUAUGGAGGAACACCAGUGGCGAAGGCGACUCUCUGGUCUGUAACUGACGCUGAGGCUCGAAAGCGUGGGGAGCAAACAGGAUUAGAUACCCCUGUAGUC
rnacentral:rRNA from 1 species